UACGUAGGGUGCGAGCGUUAAUCGGAAUUACUGGGCGUAAAGCGUGCGCAGGCGGCGCGUUAAGACAGGUGUGAAAGCCCCGAGCUUAACUUGGGAAUUGCGCUUGUGACUGGCGUGCUGGAGUGUGGCAGAGGGAGGUGGAAUUCCACGUGUAGCAGUGAAAUGCGUAGAGAUGUGGAGGAACACCGAUGGCGAAGGCAGCCUCCUGGGCCAGCACUGACGCUCAUGCACGAAAGCUAGGGUAGCAAAUGGG
rnacentral:rRNA from 1 species